rnacentral:rRNA from 1 species
GACAGAGGUGCCAAGCGUUAGGCGGAAUCACUGGGCUUAAAGCGUGUGUAGGCGGAUUUGUAAGUACCUUGUGAAAUCCCACGGCUCAACCGUGGAACUGCUCGGUAUACUGCUUAUCUUGAGCCACUUAGGGGCUACCGGAACAAAUGGUGGAGCGGUGAGAUGCGUAGAUAUCAUUUGGAACGCCAAUGGUGAAAACAGGUAGCUGGGAGUGUGCUGACGCUGAGACACGAAAGCCAGGGGAGCGAACGGG